CCUACGGGUGGCAGCAGUGGGGAAUCUUCCGCAAUGGACGAAAGUCUGACGGAGCAACGCCGCGUGAGUGAUGACGGCCUUCGGGUUGUAAAGCUCUGUUAAUCGGGACGAAUGGUUCUUGUGCAAAUAGUGCGAGGAUUUGACGGUACCGGAAUAGAAAGCCACGGCUAACUACGUGCCAGCAGCCGCGGUAAUACGUAGGUGGCAAGCGUUGUCCGGAAUUAUUGGGCGUAAAGCGCGCGCAGGCGGAUUGGUCAGUCUGUCUUAAAAGUUCGGGGCUUAACCCCGUGAUGGGAUGGAAACUGCCAAUCUAGAGUAUCGGAGAGGAAAGUGGAAUUCCUAGUGUAGCGGUGAAAGGCGUAGAUAUUAGGAAGAACACCAGUGGCGAAGGCGACUUUCUGGACGAAAACUGACGCUGAGGCGCGAAAGCCAGGGGAGCGAACGGGAUUAGAUACCCGAGUAGUC
rnacentral:rRNA from 1 species